rnacentral:lncRNA from 1 species
UUCAUGCCGUGGAGUGUGUUCCCUUUGUCUUGGGUGGUCGUGGAAAGUUUUAUAGACGUCGCAAUGAAAUGUGUAUUAUUAGCGUGCCUCUGCUCGUCCAUUACGCAACGGCAUGUAUGCUGGGAUCAAAAUCGUCGACGCAGCACUCGCAACUCGGAGAGCUCUUUUCGAUCUCAUCGUACUGUUCAAAAGUGGUGAGGCCGUGGCCCGCAACAGUGUCCACUAAAAGGAGGAGCCCCCAGAAAUGCAGACCCCAUAUGAGUGCCUGCAGCAGCACGGCUGGAUGCUCAUGUCAGGCUUCACCAUGGCGGAGUACCAGGCGGAACCAACGAGGUUAAAAA